CUUGAUAAAGUAUAAGAGGUCCAGCCUGCCCAGUGAAAAUUCAACGGCCGCGGUACACUGACCGUGCAAAGGUAGCAUAAUCAUUCGCCCCUUAAUUAGGGGCCUGUAUCAACGGCAUCUCGAGGGUUACUCUGUCUCCUUUUUCUAAUCAGUGAAACUGAUCUACCCGUGAAAAAGCGGGUAUUUAACUAUAAGACGAGAAGACCCCAUGGAGCUUCAAACCAAAAGCAAAUUAAACUUAUACACCACUAUAACCUCUAUAUGAUGCUUAUCGGUUUUAGGUUGGGGCAACCGCGGAGAAAAAUUUAACCUCCACAACGAAAAGACCUUAGUCUUUAUCCCAGAGCAACCACUCUAAGAACUAGGAUACUAACGGAUAAUGAUCCAAUUCUUUGUAAUUGAUCAACGGACCA
rnacentral:rRNA from 1 species